GACAGAGGAUGCAAGCGUUAUUCGGAAUUAUUGGGCGUAAAGGGCGCGUAGGCGGCGAUUCAAGUGACGGGUGAAAUCCCUCGGCUUAACCGAGGAACUGCCUGUCAGACUGGGUUGCUUGAGACCGGGAGAGGCGAGUGGAAUUCCCAGUGUAGCGGUGAAAUGCGUAGAUAUUGGGAGGAACACCAGUGGCGAAGGCGGCUCGCUGGACCGGAACUGACGCUGAGGCGCGAAAGCGUGGGGAGCAAACAGG
rnacentral:rRNA from 1 species